GAUGAACGCUGGCGGCGUGCUUAACACAUGCAAGUCGAACGGAAAGGCCCAAGCUUGCUUGGGUGCUCGAGUGGCGAACGGGUGAGUAACACGUGGGUGAUCUGCCCUGCACUUUGGGAUAAGCCUGGGAAACUGGGUCUAAUACCGGAUAGGACCAUCGUUUAGUGUCGGUGGUGGAAAGUUUUUCGGUGUGGGGUGAGCUCGCGGCCUAUCAGCUUGUUGGUGGGGUAAUGGGCUACCAAGGGGUCGACGGGGAGGCGGCCCGGGAGGGUGUACGGCCACAAUGGGGCUGGGAUACGGCCCAGGCUCCUAAGGGGGGGAGCAGGGGGGAAUAUUGCACAAGGGGCGCGAGGCUGAUGCAGCGACGCCGCGGGGGGGAUGACGGGCUUCGGGUUGGAAACUCCUUUCGCCAAGGACGAAGCGUUUUGUGACGGUACUUGGAGAAGAAGCACCGGCUAACUACGUG
rnacentral:rRNA from 1 species